AUGGCUGUCCAGGACGAGCCGCUGCACAUCCUCUUCUUCCCGUUCCUGGCGUCCGGCCACCUCAUCCCUAUCGCCGACAUGGCCGCGCUCUUCGCCGGCCGCGGCGUCAGGUGCAGCAUCCUCACCACGCCCGUCAACGCCGCCAUCAUCCGCUCUGCCGUCGGCUGCGCCAACGAUGCCUUCGCCGGCACCGGCUCCCCGACCAUCGACAUCGCGGUCGUGCCCUUCCCCGACGUCGGCCUCCCGCCGGGUGUGGAGAACUGCACGGCGCUCACGUCCCUAGACGACCGCGACAAGUUCUUCCAGGCCGCGCAGCUGCUCCGGGAGCCCUUCGACCGGUUCCUGGCCGACCACCGCACCGACGCGGUCGUGUCAGACAGCUUCUUCAAUUGGUCCGUGGACGCCGCCGCUGAGCGCGGCGUCCCGCGGAUCGCCUUCCUCGGCAGCAGCAUGUUCGCGCGCUCCUGCAGCGACAGCAUGCUGCGGCACAACCCGCUGGAGAACGCCCCCGACGACCCCGACGCCCUCGUUCUGCUGCCGGGGCUGCCGCACCGCAUCGAGCUGAGGCGGAGCCAGAUGAUGGACCCGGCAAAGAAGCCGUGGAACUGGGAGUUCUCCAAGAGCGUGAACGCCGCCGACCAGAGGAGCUUCGGCGAGGUGUUCAACAGCUUCCACGAGCUGGAGCCGGAUUACGUCGAGCACUUCCACAAGACGCUCGCCCGGCGCGUGUGGCUCGUCGGGCCGGUGGCGCUCGCCAGCAAGGACAUGGCUGUGAGAGGCACCGACGCGCCCUCGCCGGACGCGGACAGCUGCAUCCGGUGGCUUGACGCGAAGCCGGCCGGCUCGGUGGUGUACGUCUCCUUCGGCACACUGACCAAGUUCGCACCGGCGGAGCUGCACCAGCUCGCCCGCGCCCUCGACGUAUCAGGCGUGAACUUUGUGUGGGUGAUCGCCGCCGCCGAGGGCCAAGACUCUGCUGAGUGGAUGCCCGAAGGCUUCGCCGAGCUCAUAGCGCGCGGCGACCGCGGCUUCAUGGUCCGAGGCUGGGCGCCGCAGAUGCUGAUCCUGAGCUACCCCGCCCUCGGCGGGUUCAUGACGCACUGCGGCUGGAACUCAGUGCUGGAGGCCGUGACCGCCGGCGUUCCGAUGGUGACGUGGCCGCGGUACGAGGACCAGUUCAACAACGAGAAGCUUGUCGUGGAGCUGCUGAAGGUGGGCGUCAGCAUCGGGGCCAAGGAUAACGCGUCGGGCAUCGAGGCCCACGAGGUGAUCGCCGCCGAGGUGAUCGCCGAGUCCAUCCAGAGGUUGAUGGAGAGCGACGCCAUCCGGAAGAAGGCCAAGGACCUCGGCGCGAAGGCAAGGAGCGCGGUGGAGAAGGGCGGGUCUUCGUACGAUGACGUUGACCGGCUGAUGGACGUCCUGACGGCCCGCCGGAGCUCCGUCGAGGCUGGAGAAGACAUCCAAGCCAGCUGA
rnacentral:rRNA from 1 species